GACAGAACCUUAUCGUUCCAAGGCGGUGAAAUGCUGUUCUUUCGAAUUUAUUCAUACGUGAAUCCUCACUGUAAAAAAUAAUUCUGUGGCUUUGUAAAUAUCACAAAAAUAAAAACUUGUAUUAACUUAAUAAAAUCUCUGAGUAUCAUUAAAGAGAUUAUUUGAUUUGGGCUUACCAAAAUUAAUAAGUAAAAAUCCCACAGUUUAUUUUAUCUCUAAUUUACUUGUUCUGCUUAAGUAUGUUUUAAUAAAAAAAUUAAGCAUUUCGCUAACAAAUUAUAUUGUUCACAUGUCCUUAAUGUUUUUGGUACAUUUAAAUGAAAAUAUUUGAGAAAGUUGCAAUUAAACUUGUCAGUUUUAUAAACAGAAAUUACUGCUUAUUUUCUAUCAAUUUCCUUUGUAUUUUGCAUCGACUUAAGAAAUUGAGUAAGUUUCGCGGCUAUCGUGAUCACGUGGACACAACGACCGCGGUCAACAACGGGAAAUCUGCUUGCCGGUCACAAGAAAGCUGAGGCUUAAACCACCUUAAGACUCCUUUAAAAAUGCAGCAUUGACAUCAUCGUCCAAAAACAUCUAAAUAACAACACAAGGCAGGAGGAUGUUGCUGAUCCACCUAUUGAUGUUCAAGAGGAAUUAGCUGUCCUCAACCAACUCCGUGAUCUUUGCAGAGCCUGCUCCUAUCUUGUGGGAUUGACAUGUGCCUUGGACCUGUGAUACCCCAAGAACUUUAAAGGGUUAGUUCAUCCAAAAAUGAAUAUUAGC